UACAGAGGGUGCGAGCGUUAAUCGGAAUUACUGGGCGUAAAGCGUGCGUAGACGGUUAUCUAAGUCGGAUGUGAAAGCCCCGGGCUCAACCUGGGAAUGGCAUUUGGGACUGCAAGGCUGGAGUUUGGCAGAGGAGACUGGAAUUCCUGGUGUAGCAGUGAAAUGCGUAGAUAUCAGGAGGAACACCGAUGGCGAAGGCAGGUCUCUGGGCUGAAACUGACGCUCAAGCACGAAAGCGUGGGGAGCAAACAGG
rnacentral:rRNA from 1 species